rnacentral:sRNA from 1 species
AAGAUGGCGUAGAAAGUAAUGACAGGAUUUGGAUGAAGUAAUUGAUCACUAAUGAACUACAGUGCUGGUGAGAUGUGUAAGAAAUUAUAAAGAGCUCUGAUGGGCUAUUUGGGUGACACCCAGUGCAGUGAACUGCAGGAUUUUUGUCCCUGAGUCAUGGAAGACAGAAGAGCUGAAAAGUCAUGUGAACAAGCAUGUGAAUCACUUAAGAGGCAGGACUAUGAAAUGGCCCUCAAGCACUGCACAGAGGCCCUUCUUUCUCUUGGCCAGUACUCCAUGGCAGACUUCACAGGGCCUUGUCCAUUGGAAAUAGAACGCAUCAAAAUCGAGAGUCUUCUCUACAGAAUUGCCUCAUUUUUGCAACUGAAAAAUUAUGUGCAAGCUGAUGAAGAUUGUAGACAUGUGCUGGGAGAAGGACUGGCCAAGGGAGAGGAUGCCUUUCGGGCAGUGCUUUGCUGCAUGCAGCUGAAAGGGAAGCUCCAACCUGUAUCUGCCAUUCUUGCCAAGUCACUGACAGGAGAGUCCCUGAAUGGGAUGGUAACAAAGGAUUUGACAAGACUAAAAACACUUCUCUCAGAAACAGAGGUAAGGCCAUUUCAGUGGAUCUGUUUGGAAGAGUUUGACUCAAUCUGUCUAGUAAGCAUUAUGUAUUAAAAUUUGGAAAACUAUUGCGGCAUCAGCCAGAAGGCAAGGCUGUGAAGGUGGGGCAGUGGGACUGCCAGCCUUCCCUCAUAACCCCCGUAACCCACAGUUCCAUCCUGGGAACGCUGCUUCUCCACAUGUAUCCUCUGUGUGCCAGGGCUUCUCUUCUGUCCCUAGUGGACAGAACUGGUAUCUUAUUAGCUGUCUCUGGACAACAAAUGGGAAGAUGAUUGGGAAAUUUUAGUUUUUAACUACUUCUGGCUACUAGAAAAUGAAGUGCUCUCAUUAAAAAUGAGAUAUCCUCAAGCCUUAUUUAUUAUUUAUUAUUUGUUUAUUUGAGACGGGGUCUCGCUCUGUUACCCAGGUUGGAGUGCAGUGGCGUGAUCACAGCUCACUGCAACCUCGACCUCCCUCGGCUCAGGUGAUCCUCCCACCUCAGCCUCCUGAGUAGCUGGAACUAUA